rnacentral:rRNA from 1 species
GCUAGCCGUAAAUCUAAGCAAACCCUUACUAAUUUGCCCGCCAGAAAAUUACACGCGAAAGCACAAAAUUCAAAGGACUUGACGGUGUUCCACACCAACCUAGAGGAGCCUGUCCUAUAAUCGAUAAUCCACGCUAAACCUUACCCAUUCUUGCCAUAACAGCCUAUAUACCGCCGUCGCCAGCCCAUCUAAUGAUAGAACUAACAUGGGCAAAACUGUCUGCUCACUAAAACGUCAGGUCAAGGUGUAGCUAAUGAAUGGGCUGAGAUGGGCUACAUUUUUUAAAUUAAAAAACACAGCAAGUAACAUGAAACAUGGACUAUAAAGGUGGAUUUAGCAGUAAACUAAGUAAGACAUACUAUAUUGAAGCCAGCUCUGGAACGCGUACAC